rnacentral:rRNA from 1 species
GACGAACGCUGGCGGCGUGCUUAACACAUGCAAGUCGAACGGGAAGGCCUGCUUUCCCUUGUGGAUUGCGGGUACUCGAGUGGCGAACGGGUGAGUAACACGUGAGUGAUCUGCCCCCAACUUGGGUAUAAGCCUGGGAAACUGGGUCUAAUUCCCGAUAGGACUGCAGGGUGGUGCCUGUGGUGGAAAACGAUUUUCUAGUGGUUGGGGAUGAGCUCGCGGCCUAUCAGCUUGUUGGUGGGGCAAUGGCCUACCAAGGCGGCGACGGGUAGCCGGCCUGGGAGGGUGGACGGCCACAUUGGGACUGAGAUACGGCCCAGACUCCUACGGGAGGCAGCAGUGGGGAAUAUUGCACAAUGGGCGGAAGCCUGAUGCAGCGACGCCGCGUGGGGGAUGACGGCCUUCGGGUUGUAAACUCCUUUCGACCGCGAGGAAGCCACCUGGUUGGAAGGGUGGUGACGGUAGUGGUAGAAGAAGCACCGGCUAACUACGU